AUUGAACGCUGGCGGCAGGCCUAACACAUGCAAGUCGAGCGGAUGAAGGGAGCUUGCUCCCGGAUUCAGCGGCGGACGGGUGAGUAAUGCCUAGGAAUCUGCCUGGUAGUGGGGGAUAACGUCCGGAAACGGGCGCUAAUACCGCAUACGUCCUGAGGGAGAAAGUGGGGGAUCUUCGGACCUCACGCUAUCAGAUGAGCCUAGGUCGGAUUAGCUAGUUGGUGGGGUAAAGGCCUACCAAGGCGACGAUCCGUAACUGGUCUGAGAGGAUGAUCAGUCACACUGGAACUGAGACACGGUCCAGACUCCUACGGGAGGCAGCAGUGGGGAAUAUUGGACAAUAGGCGAGAGCCUGAUCCAGCCAUGCCGCGUGUGUGAAGAAGGUCUUCGGAUUGUAAAGCACUUUAAGUUGGGAGGAAGGGCAGUAAGUUAAUACCUUGCUGUUUUGACGUUACCAACAGAAUAAGCACCGGCUAACUUCGUG
rnacentral:rRNA from 1 species